AGGGGAUUCCAGGCCCUGCUGGUCCCAUCGGGCCCCCCGGUCCUCCAGGCUUACCAGGCCCUCAAGGUCCCAAGGGGAACAAAGGCUCCACGGGACCUGCCGGCCAGAAGGGUGACAGUGGUCUGCCAGGGCCCCCCGGGCCUCCGGUGAGUGCCUGGAGGCGAGA